CGGCCGCGUCGACGGGGUAAAGGCCUACCAAGGCAAUGAUGCGUAGCCGAGUUGAGAGACUGAUCGGCCACAUUGGGACUGAGACACGGCCCAAACUCCUACGGGAGGCAGCAGUAGGGAAUCUUCCACAAUGGACGCAAGUCUGAUGGAGCAACGCCGCGUGAGUGAAGAAGGUCUUCGGAUCGUAAAGCUCUGUUGUUGGUGAAGAAGGAUAGAGGCAGUAACUGGUCUUUAUUUGACGGUAAUCAACCAGAAAGUCACGGCUAACUACGUGCCAGCAGCCGCGGUAAUACGUAGGUGGCAAGCGUUGUCCGGAUUUAUUGGGCGUAAAGCGAGCGCAGGCGAAAUGAUAAGUCUGAUGUGAAAGCCCACGGCUCAACCGUGGAACUGCAUCGGAAACUGUCAUUCUUGAGUGCAGAAGAGGAGAGUGGAACUCAUGUGUAGCGGUGGAAUGCGUAGAUAUAUGGAGGAACACCAGUGGCGAAGGCGGCUCUCUGGUCUGUUACUGACGUCG
rnacentral:rRNA from 1 species